GCCGUGGCUCAGUUAUUAAACAUCUGCUUAGUAUGCAGAAAGUCCCAGGUUCAAUCCCUGGCAUCUCCA
rnacentral:tRNA from 1 species